GACGAACGCUGGCGGCGUGCUUAACACAUGCAAGUCGAACGGAAAGGCCCUGCUUUUGUGGGGUGCUCGAGUGGCGAACGGGUGAGUAACACGUGAGUAACCUGCCCUUGACUUUGGGAUAACUUCAGGAAACUGGGGCUAAUACCGGAUAGGAGCUCCUGCUGCAUGGUGGGGGUUGGAAAGUUUCGGCGGUUGGGGAUGGACUCGCGGCUUAUCAGCUUGUUGGUGGGGUAGUGGCUUACCAAGGCUUUGACGGGUAGCCGGCCUGAGAGGGUGACCGGCCACAUUGGGACUGAGAUACGGCCCAGACUCCUACGGGAGGCAGCAGUGGGGAAUCUUGCACAAUGGGCGGAAGCCUGAUGCAGCAACGCCGCGUGCGGGAUGACGGCCUUCGGGUUGUAAACCGCUUUCGCCUGUGACGACGCGUGAGUGACGGUAAUGGGUAAAGAAGCACCGGCUAACUACGUG
rnacentral:rRNA from 1 species